CAGUCGACGGUAGACGUCUUUCGGGAUGUUGAGAGUGGCGCACGGGUGCGUAACGCGUAUGCAACCUACCUUUUACUGUGGGAUAGCCCGAAAAAAUUCCGGAAUUAUACCCACGUGGUAUAUUUAGAAGGCAUCUUUUGAUUAUUAAAGAUUUAUUGGUUAGAGAUGAGCAUGCGUCCUAUUAGUUUGUUGGUGAGGUAACGGCUCACCAAGACUACGAUAGGUAGGGGGCCUGAGAGGGUGAUCCCCCACACUGGUACUGAGACACGGACCAGACUCCUACGGGAGGCAGCAGUGAGGAAUAUUGGACAAUGGGCGUAAGCCUGAUCCAGCCAUGCCGCGUGCAGGAUGACGGCCCUAUGGGUUGUAAACUGCUUUUAUACGGGAAUAAACCUCUCUACGUGUAGAGAGCUGAAGGUACCGUAAGAAUAAGGACCGGCUAACUCCGUGCCAGCAGCCGCGGUAAUACGGAGGGUCCAAGCGUUAUCCGGAUUUAUUGGGUUUAAAGGGUGCGCAGGCAAUAAUAAGUCAGUGGUGAAAUCCUGCAGCUUAACUGUAGAACUGCCAUUGAUACUGGUAAUCUUGAGUGUGGUUGAAGUGGGCGGAAUGUGUCAUGUAGCGGUGAAAUGCAUAGAUAUGACACAGAACACCGAUUGCGAAGGCAGCUCACUAAACUACAACUGACGCUGAGGGACGAAAGCGUGGGGAGCGAACAGGAUUAGAUACCCUGGUAGUCCACGCCGUAAACGAUGAUCACUCGCUGUUGGCGAUACACAGUCAGCGGCCAAGCGAAAGCAUUAAGUGAUCCACCUGGGGAGUACGGUCGCAAGACUGAAACUCAAAGGAAUUGACGGGGGCCCGCACAAGCGGUGGAGCAUGUGGUUUAAUUCGAUGAUACGCGAGGAACCUUACCUGGGCUUAAAUGCAGAACGACAGACCGGGAAACCAGUCCUUCUUCGGACGGUCUGCAAGGUGCUGCAUGGUUGUCGUCAGCUCGUGCCGUGAGGUGUCGGGUUAAGUCCCAUAACGAGCGCAACCCCUAUCGUUAGUUGCUAGCAGGUAAUGCUGAGGACUCUAGCGAAACUGCCCGUGCAAGCGGUGAGGAAGGUGGGGAUGCGUCAAGUUAGCACGGCCCUUACGUCCAGGGCUACACACGUGUUACAAUGGUCGGUACAGAGAGCAGCUACCUGGCGACAGGAUGCUAAUCUAUAAAGUAUAUCACAGUUCGGAUCGGAGUCUGCAACUCGACUCCGUGAAGUUGGAUUCGCUAGUAAUCGCAUAUCAGCCAUGAUGCGGUGAAUACGUUCCCGGGCCUUGUACACACCGCCCGUCAAGCCAUGGAAGCCGAGGGUGCCUGAAGUACGUAACCGCA
rnacentral:rRNA from 1 species